AAAACGGCCCUUUUCAGGGCCAACAAAAGUUCCGACGUUGACUUUU
rfam:Trachymyrmex cornetzi contig49937, whole genome shotgun sequence.